GCCGGAGUGGUGGAAUUGGUAGACACAAGGGACUUAAAAUCCCUCGAGCUUCGGCUCGUGCCGGUUCAAGUCCGGCCUCUGGUACCA
rnacentral:tRNA from 1 species